AGAAUGAACGUUGGCGGCGUGGAUUAGGCAUGCAAGUCGAACGGGCCUGGUUUUCGGAUCAGGUCAGUGGCGCAAGGGUGAGUAAGGCGACGGUAACCAACCCCAUGGUUGGGUAUAGCCGCGGGAAACUGCGGGUAAUCCCCAGCGAUGUAAGAUGCCGGCAUCGGUGUUUUAUCAAAGCUUUGGCGCCGUGGGACGGGCCGUCGUGGUAUUAGGUUGUUGGCGGGGUAACGGCCCACCAAGCCGAUGAUGCCUACCGGGCGUGCGAGCGUGGCCCGGCACACUGGGACUGAGACACUGCCCAGACUCCUACGGGAGGCUGCAGUCGAGAAUCUUCGGCAAUGGGCGCAAGCCUGACCGAGCGACGCCGCGUGGAGGAUGAAGGCCUUCGGGUUGUAAACUCCUGUCGAGGGGGAGGAAGGGGAAACCUUGACCGAUCCCUGGAGGAAGCACGGGCUAAGUUCGUGCCAGCAGCCGCGGUAAGACGAACCGUGCGAACGUUAUUCGGAAUCACUGGGCUUAAAGCGCGUGUAGGCGGAUGGGAACGUCGGAUACUGAAAGCCUCCGGCUCAACCGGGGAAGUGGUUCCGAAACGACCUGUCUGGAGGGACGUAGGGGGAUCUGGAACUUCCGGUGGAGCGGUGAAAUGCGUUGAGAUCGGAAGGAACGCCCGUGGCGAAAGCGAGGUCCUGGACGUCUGCUGACGCUGAGACGCGAAAGCUAGGGGAGCAAACGGGAUUAGAUACCCCGGUAGUCCUAGCCGUAAACGAUGGGCACUGGGUAGGGGGCUCGCCGAUGGGCUCUCUGCCGUAGCGAAAGCGUGAAGUGCCCCGCCUGGGGAGUAUGGUCGCAAGGCUGAA
rnacentral:rRNA from 1 species